UACGUAGGGUGCGAGCGUUGUCCGGAAUUAUUGGGCGUAAAGAGCUUGUAGGCGGUUUGUCGCGUCUGCUGUGAAAAUCCGGGGCUCAACCCCGGACUUGCAGUGGGUACGGGCAGACUAGAGUGUGGUAGGGGAGACUGGAAUUCCUGGUGUAGUGGUGAAAUGCGCAGAUAUCAGGAGGAACACCGAUGGCGAAGGCAGGUCUCUGGGCCACUACUGACGCUGAGAAGCGAAAGCAUGGGGAGCGAACAGG
rnacentral:rRNA from 1 species